UUGGCAGCACAUGUUAGCUCAGGGUGAAUCUUCCUGAGCAAAAAACUAAAAAAAAAAAGGACACAACUUUAAUGUCCUUCGUUUUGGUAUUAGCUCUAUCUGAAGUUCAUUUUUAUGGCAUUUCUCUAAAGGUCUGUUUUCCACAGUUGCCUAGCAGAGCUUACAAUUUAUUACUCAGUUAAAAAUGGCAAUUAAAUCUGUUAAUACACAACUGUGGAACUAUGGAUGACUUCUUGAAAUGUGAUAUAUUUAACCUUUAUCUCAGUUAUUUAUUAAAUCACAAAAUAUAACAUCAUAGGAUUAGAAUAGAUCAUAAAGUUCUCCAGACCAAACCCCAUCUUUUACUUAAAUCACCUCUAAAACAUUCUUGCCAAACUGUUUUCAAAGGCGUCUCUCAUUGUAACGAGUCACCCUAAGACUGGUCUCCUAUCCAACAUACCAAACAGCGCCCCCUGAUCCUCGGCCCUCAGGAUGCUCCUUAACCUCCGUGAUUAAGAGGAAGCUGAGGCAUCUUCUGAACCAGGGAAAAGGUCACUACAGGGUCUCUUACUGACUCUUAAUUGAGGGUGUGUCUCUGCAUUUUAAGUUUUAAACACCUGAUGUGCCCUUAGCAAUUGGGCUUUUGUUUCUGACUUUCUGAGAAUCUAUGGCAAAUGAGGUUUCGUUGCCACAAGUCAAUAGUUGAAAUUUGAAAUGUCCUAAGAGGUAGUGGCGUACUGAAACAGGCUCCUGCCAGUAAUAAGGGUUUGGCAGUUAAGUGACACUCCCAGUUAAGUGAUACUCCUUGACAGCUUGACAUCAGUGUUGGGGGAGCAUUUACACCACAGAAAUUAGCAAGUAGUUUGAACUGUCAUCCUAAGGAGAUGUUCAUAAUUGAAUGCAAAAGAAGACCACAGGUGAAAUGCUUUCCAGAUAUGUACACUGCCUUACAGAAACCAAAUAAAAUAAGUAUUUUUAUUUUAAAUUAUUUUAAAAUAAGUAUUAUGGUAAUGUAGAUAACUAUGGAAAAAUGAGAUAUGGAACCUUAAGCUAGACACUAUUAUAAAAGCAUCCUUUCUCUCAAAAUGACUCAUUCUUUUUUGGGCCAGUUAUUUAACUUCUUUGGGAAACUUAAAAAUUUACUUAGGUGACGUGCAGAAAACCACUAUUCUUUGCAAAUUUUUCAUACGAUGGAAUCACUGUAUAGUUUUAGGUAACUGAUCCGUGAACUGAAAGGCUCUGAGUUGACUUGCAGAAGCAUUAUACAAAGUAAUGAUAACCAUUUUUUUAAGAUCUGUGAUUACGUAUGGAUGUGAUAAUCUGUAGCAGCACUAUCAGAUAAAUAAUACAUAUUUAAAAAAUUUCUGUAAUUACAUGUUUACCCGAUAGGCCAGAACGACUCUGUCCCAAGGAGCUGUUACAGACUGAGUAAAUAAUACAUGUUUUAAAGUCCAUAAUUACAUAUGUAAACGAUAGACUAUCGAGUAAAUAAUGCACAUUUUAAAAAGUCCAUAAUUACAUAUUUACAUGAUAGUCUGUAAAUUCUGUAAUUACUUAUUUACACAAUAGACCAUAACAGCUGUUACAGUCUAUUAUGUUAACUCUCAUAGAAUUAUAUUAUGGAUUUUUUAAAACGCCGUAAAGAACCUAAGGAAUGGAAUGAUAGAAAUGAGGUAAAAUAUGAACGUCACACUUACUAUAGCUUUCCCAAAAGAGGACUGUUUCAAGUUCAAACUGUUUCAAGGCCAAACUCAUGACUGAUACUUUAUUGAUAACUGACAAAAUUUAUUUGCAGAAGUAUAAAUUGAGAAAUCAGAGGACAAGGAAUAACUGGAUAGUAUCAUAUUACGCCAAGAUUUUCACCAUUUCCAUGGAUAAAACUUAUUCUUGGUGGCACAAAUAAAGCAUUGUGUGUAACGUUUAUGUUUCUUAGUCUUCUCACAAAAUUACAGUGAAGCAUAAUUUUUAGAAUUGUAUUUGUGUCUUCAUUUAUUCUUUAAGUGCAGUCGAAUAUUCUAUAGUUUGCACAUACUAAUAAAAUAUUUGGGUGUGUGUGCAUAGAUUAUACAUAAUGAUAACAUAUGCAUUUGUAUGUUUUUCAUGAGGCUUCGAGUUGCUUUCUUAUCUUUUAAGGGUCCUCAUGGGUUAAGGACUCAUAUGGUACAUUUUAUGUCUCAACUUCUGAAUUUAUUCUAAAGUUAAAUACAAGAUCAAUGCAACUAAAUGAGACUUCUGUCCAUAAUUACUGCUAAAUAGCAAGGCUAAAUCAAGCAAGUGAGAAUCUGUUAUUUAGUGAUGUUGGACCAUAUAUUCUUAGCAACAAAAUACAGUAUGGGAGGAACCUUUGAUCCUAUUUGUUCGGUAUUAUUCUGUAAGAUAUUUGACAGCUUGAAAUAAGUGAGUGCUUGAGUUUCAGAGAGCUGUUGUACAAAAAUAAAUCUUCACAUUUCAUAAAAUUUAUUUUCACUUCAUAUUUGAGCUACAAACCCUGACAUUUCUCAACAUCCACAGACGAGGUUAUUUAAACCAGUGGCUUUCAAGUUUCUUUGAAUGCAACUCUUGGUAAGAAAUAAUUUACAUUAGGACCUAGUACAUACAUAUAUAUAAAACCAUACAUAUCCUUAUAUAUACUUCCUGAUAUUAUCUACUCUACUGUAUUCUAUUUUAUUUUGUGCAAAUGCUGGUUGUGACUCACUGAAUUGAUUUCCUGAUCCACAAAUGGGUCAUGACCUGCAAUUUGAAAAACAUUGAUUUAGAAAAUGCCUUUUUUGCUUUUGCUGAGAAGGGUUUUCCCUGAGCUAACAUCCAUUGCCAGUCUUCCUCUUUUUGUAUGUGAACCACCACCACAGCAUGGCCACUGACACACGGGUGGUAUAGGUCCGCGACUGGGAACUGACCCUGGCCUGCCAAAGUGGAGUGCACUGAAUUUAACCACUAGGCCACUGGGGCUGGCCCAGAAAAUGCUUUUUAUUGCUGGGGCACAAAGGGCUUUCUUACCUUAUAAUAGGUAGAUUAAAUCUGGUUAGAUUUGGAAUGGAAGCAUUCUAUUGGUGGAUCAUAGUUGCAUAGUCUAACAAAAGUCGACUCAUUUAUGAGUAUAGAAAUAUAUAAUAAAGACAUAAAAUUUUCUCAUCUAUGUCUCUAGCAUAAAAGAUCUUGAAAUAGAGCAUCCUAGUGUGCAUUAUGUAAGAGUUUUGGUUAUUAUUGAGACUGUAGAAAUUAUUUAAUGGGAGAUGUGCAGAGUGGUACAUCAGAUUUCUGACUCAGAAUGUCCUGCCUGGGAAGGGCUUCAUUUCAUGGGCAUUGUUGAUGUUCCCAGUGCAGAUCUGGAAGCAGGAAAAAAAAAAGGCAAUACUAAUGCAAAAAGUGAUAAAUGAUCAGAGAGAGAUUUUCAUCUUCUUUUUAUGGUGAGGAAGUCCUUGAAUAAUGAAAUUUCACAGGGUACUGAAAUGUAUCUCAAUUUUAAUGAGUGGAAUUAACUUGAAAUUAAGAUCCCAAAUGAAAAAGUCACAACUAUUAAUUUGUAAAUAAAGGCAAGUAUUUAGAAAAUUAUUAUUGUUUUACUCUCUGUUCCAUCAUAUGUCAAUGGUCACUAAAAUACAGUAUGCUAAGAUUGUGUUGUGGGAUAUAGAGUAGAAAAAAGUGUUUAAGAAGAAGUCAUGCUUCUGAUUGCAUGAUGGAAAGUCUAAGAUUGGUAAAUAUUCACCACACACAAAUAUGUAAAAUCUAUACUGUCUGCUAGUUUCUAUCUUGUCAAUACUUUGCAUCUGGAGACCAGAGAGAAAGAAGGAAGUUUUUGUAUUUCUCAAUGAUCCCUGUAAUAUUCAUGACUUUGGAGAAGCUCAAUGGGUAGAACGCCUUCAGAUCAUAAAUUUGUAUUUGUAAAUUCAGCCAUAAUCUCAAAUACCUAUCAUGCCAGAUCUUUUAUUUUGAUUUUUAAAAAAAAUUCUCUCUGCUCUUCUUUGCAUUUUCUCCUGCAUUCCUUAGAGUACAGCCCCCCCAUCCACCCAGCCUCUCAAGUUAGGGACCUGGCAAUUGUCCUAAGCCCCUCUGUCUCCUUCAUUCUCUCUGAUCAGUCAAGACCACAUCUUUUCUGGUUCAUUUCCUAAAUAUAUCUGGAACUUGCCCCUUCUUUCCAUCCCGGUUGCAAUUUUCUAUGUUCAGACCCUCAUUAUUUCCUAUCUUAAUUCUUUAAGCCUCUGGAGUGAUCCUCCUGCCUCCAAUCUACCUCUAUCACUCCAUCUUUGGCACUGCUGCUGGGUCAGUCCUUCUAAAAAUCAGCCCAUGAUCGUGCCUGCCCUCUGCGGAAGAUUCCCUUUCUCUUUGCUUUCUCUGGCCAGCUUUGCUCAUGCUUCAAAACUCGAUAGUAGGACUUCCCUGGCUCCCCAGGUCUUGUCAUGCUUUCCCCACCAUGGGUGACCAUAGCACCUUGGGCCCAGCUCUGUCUGAACACCGUAAAACUGUUUCACUGCAUGUUUGUCUCUUCCUCAUAAAAUUUGAACUCCUCAAAGGCAGUGACUGUAUCUUUUUUGCUAGGAAAUAUAAAGUGCUCAGUAAAUAUUUGUGAAAUGACUAGCUAGAAGAACCACUGUCUCAAAGCAUUAACCUCCAAUUCAGGCUGAUAUUUUUCAAUUAGAUUUAUUAUAAGUUGAACUCAGUCUUCUCAGUGGUUACCAAAGAAAGUGGAAAUAGGGGACACAUCUUAGAGACAGAUGAAGUUUUCCCUCUAGAUUACAGACUCAAUUAGACUCAAUGGUAUCAGCCUAGAACCCAGACUCUGACAUUAUAUUUUUAAGAGAGACAGUGAAAUCUGCUCCCUUCCUGGCUUUUUCAUAUGUACACAUAAAUUAUUUCCACAUUGCUUGUAACAGCUUUUCUUGAACUCCAUACCCAAAUUGGAUUUGCAUUUUUAAAACCUAGACCACUUUAUUUAAAAAGACAAAUUCUUUAGCUAUAUUCUGUAACUAUGAAUAGUCAUCUCAUCAUAGGUACUUUUUUCGGAAGGCAUUUCCCUCUUGCUAUAUUGAAGUUUCAGAAAUUUAUGAUUUAAUAGCAAAUGAUUGCAUCACUUGGCUAUUGUAAUGCCAAAUACGUAUGUAUGUAUCAGAGAAGUUAUUUAUUUUAUAUACAUUUGUUGGGUUUUUUUUUUUAUUAUUGUAAUGGAAUUUGAAGACAGAGAUAGAUUUCUUGCCUGCAGUGUUAACUACAGAGAGGGUUAGCAUUAUGGAAUGUCAUUCGACUUGCUCUUAUAAUGAUAAAUAUUUCCAUGACAAAACCUACUGUGAACCUGUAUUCUCUAGAAAUUUCUCUCUCCCCUGGCUACUAUUUUACCUUAAGGAGAAAACGGAAAAUGCAGUAGCAGUAGAUUACUGCUAGAAACUUGUAAGCAAUUAAAUAAAACACUCAUGUAUAUGAAGGACAUCUUUCCCUUUAUAUUAUCUUGCCAUCAGUUAUGCAGUAUGUAGGUUUUUUUACUCUUCUUAUUCAAAGUUGAUGCUCUUGGUGGUGCUAUUGUCCAUUCAUAAAUAUGCCUUGAAAUACAGGGUGUGUGCCAGAGAUAUUGAGAAGCUGGAUUUUUUUGUCUAGUGACCAUUCAUUCAUUUGUUAAAAAUAUGACUGAGCACUCCUUGUUGGAAAUGUAAGCAUGAACACAAAUCCUGGCUUCAAGGAGUGUAGAGUCUAGAAGUGGCGAUGAGAUGUGUACUUAAAUAUGACAAAAGUUAAAACGUUCUGCGUUAAAAGAAUCCAUCCACUUCUUCCAGCUCCGCUGUCCUCACUGAGUCUGAGUCAACAUCAUCUCUUGCUUACGUAACUGCCAAGGUCUGCUAAUUGGUCUCCCUACUAUUAUUUCUCCCAGCUCUUCUCAACACAGCAGCCCGAGGGGCCUUCUGAACUGAAAGUCAGAUCAUGUCACGCCUCAGCUGAAACUCUGGAAUGGCCCCUAUUUCACUGCCAUAAUCUACCCCCUCAAACCCUCGCAUCCUGAGCCUCAGACCCCAUUCCCUACUAUUCUUCCCCUCCCUCACUUCCUCAGAGCACUCUAGUCUCUGCUGUUCCUUCCAAACGCCAGGUGUAUUUCUUCUGCCUCUUUCUGUUGGCCCUUCUUGCUGCCUGGAAUGCUCUUCCCCAUAUAGCCAAAUUGCUAACUCCUUCCACUUCUUCAAGUCCUCAGGUCUUUGCUCAGAUUUGACCUUCUUAGUAAGCCCUACUUUAACCACUACAUAUAUUAAAAAUUGGAACCCCCUGUACCCCUUCCUCUGCUCUACACGUCAUUUUACCACAGCAUCUGUCUCCUUUAAGUAGCACGUGAUUAUUUGUUUAUGAUGUCAAUUACUUGUUUGUUCCCCAUUAGAAUCUCAGUUCCAUAGGGCAGAGAUCUUUGUUUUGUUUGCUGAUGCAUCUGAAGCACCUAGAAGAGUGCCAGCCCACUGUUAUAAGCACUCGGUGAAUAUUAGUUGAAUGAAUGAAAAAUGAAUGAGAUUUAAAGAUGGAGUAUUAUUAAAAUUUACAGGUGAAAAAGAUCUAUUCUAAGAGGAAGAGAUUGGGAAGGUCUCGAUGGAGGUUUGUCUGAACUGGAUCGUUACGUAGAUUUGAAACUAUUGCUUUGCCGAAAACAUCUGGCUGCCGGUCUAGAAUGUGACUCUUGAGAUCGUGGUUGACCGCGGGUAACUGAAACUUUGGAAAGUGAAACGGCAGCUAAGGGGGAACGACUGCACAGAGAAUGGAUGGGUGAUUGCACGAGCUGGAGCCUGGGCGGCGGGAGAAAUGGGAGAACUGUUUUUGUUUUGUUUUUUAUUUAGUUUAAAUAAAUUGAAUAAAAAUAAAUAAAACCAUAAAAAAUUUUUUGCUGGUGUUUAACAACUUCUUUCUAUCUUCUGUAGGGGCUUUUCCCUAUCCCAUCCUGUCCACAAAAACCAGAGUUGACAGAAACAGUCUGUGCUCGUGUGUAAAGGGGAAAGAAAUAGGGCUGCGUCUCAGGGAAUAAAUGUUUCUUUGAUUUCCUUUUCUUCUUCAAUUGGUCACCAUUAAUUUUAAACUUUCCUGGCAUUUCCCAGGCAGUAAGAAGAGGGAAAGGAGGGGCCUCAGGAGGGGAAUUUCUGGUCCUUUCUAAAAGGUGUUCUCAACUGGUUGUCCAUUUUGAAGCACAGCCUGCCUGCAUACAAAAUCUCCACCAUCUUGCACAUUCAGAGACAAUUGACAGUUGGUCCAAAUGCAGGAAAUAAGGGUCACAGCAAUUUCCAUAAGGGGCAGAGUUAAUGGGAUUCUGGCCACUCCUAAUGCUGCAUGAAAAUACUAAGUUUUGUGCAAAAAUCAGUUUAAAGUGCACACCUAUAUCACCAGGAAGAGAGAGCCCCAAUCACUUUGGGGAACCUAGAAAGCUAGGACAGCUAACUCAUUUUUAGUGGAUGAUGACUUCAAGCUUGUCAUUGUCAUCCACUUAAAAGGUUUAUUGUGAAGUUACUGUAUUUCUCCUGGGUAAGGAGUGAGAGUGAGGAGAAUGUUUGGAGGAAGAAAAUUAUUUCUUAUGAAAUAUCAUGUUGUAAAUAAGUUAUUUUGGAAAAGCUAUUUAAUUUAUUUAUUUUGAUGAAAAGCAACUCUAGUUUCAACACUUUUAUAUUUGGGGAUUCCUGCUUCAUGUACGAAUAAAAGGACUUCAUGGAACUCUUUUGCUUGUCGGUUUGUUAUUUUUCUUUAGAUUCCUUUUUUUUAAAUUGAGUAUACAUGAGCCAAUAUUUGCUGUGCAUUCAUCAUAUGUUGGAGAAUAGUGUAUUAAUUAGGAUUAGGUUCAGCUGCUGGUAACAGAAAAAAAUAGCAAUGGCUUAGGGGAAAACAUACAUGCUUAUUUCCCUCUAACAUGAUAUUCCAGAGGAAUGAAGUCCAGGGAUGCAUGGCAGCUCUGUUCCCCCUUGGUCCUUCCAAAUCCCUACUCCAUCACCCCUGGACUAGAGUCGUCAACCUCACACUCUCCUGUGGCGCUGUCAGUGCAGGCUGCAAGAUAGAGAACAGGUGAAGAAGAGAACAAAGGAGAGACACUUGUCUCUCUCUCUCUCAAGACAGGAUUCUUUAAGAUGGCAGAAGGACAUUUCCACUUUCAUUUCAAUGACUGGAACUUAGUCUGUUGGCCACCCAUUACUGCUGAGAGACUAUGAAAUGUAAUCUUAAUUCUGAAGAGUCCUGGCUGAAUAUUCUACUACUAUAGAAAAAUGGGAGAACAGAUAUUGGGGUACAACUAGCAUUCUUUAUCAUGAGCCAUAUCCCUGAUUGAGACACAUAAACACAGCUGAGGGGGUAUAGGGAAGUCCCACCCCUUAUUUCUUCAAGGGAUACUAUGGAAAACAUGGCAGAACUGCCAAAUGUACAUGGAAUUAGCUACAUGAAAUGCAAAAUAAGUAACCAUUCUGUUUGUUCUGUGAUCCUGUAAAAUUGCUAAAUGUCAUCAAGAGGGAAAAUACUAAGCCAAAGAAAGCUGUAAGUUCUUUGGUGUAAUUCAACCAAUGAGUUUUAUUGUACUAAAUUGAUUUUCUGCACCCUUACCCUAAACGUGCUUGUUUAUAUCAGGAUUUGCUAUGAUUGUGUAGCUUUGGGCAGAAAUGUUGUACUCUCUUCAAGUACUUCCAUAUUUGGGCCAUGGUAAUUUGUGGUUUUAUUUAUGGUACCUGUGAUUAUUUAAAUUAUCAUCAUAUUUUUGUUGUUUCUCCCUUGUAAUCUCUCAGUGCCUGUGUCUCUUCUUCAGUCUUUCUCCACACCUUUUUAUCCAGUCUCUUCUGCAACUAAUUUAGAAAUCCUUGUUCUGUUUUGGAUAAAUUGGAGAAAGAUCAUCAGUGGUGUCCCAUGGUGAGGAGAAACAGACAAAACAGCAGUAGAAUGGUCAGAACCAUGGACAGCAACGCAUAUGCCUCACCCCCUCCCUAAUCCCACCUUCCCACGAGAGCUGUGUUUUUGUCUAUAAAUGUGCUAACCCUGAGGCAGCAGAGAUUCAAGCAAGAGAGUCUGCAUGUGGAGAACACCAGGGAAAGAGCCGGGAGUGGCCUACAUAGCUCCAUAUCCACUUCCCCUUCCCCACACGCACUCUUCGUCAACCAGAGUCCUUUCUUUCUUGAACUCUCAAUCCUUCAUUUCUAACAACUACCUCUAUUACCAUGGAAAGUAUAGACUAUGGAAAGUAAAGUAAAUUUAAGAUGGUAUCUCAUCAUUUGUCCAGACAAAUUUCUUCCACAUCUUAAUGGUUUUAGCUUUGUUUUCAAUUCAAGCUAACGAACAAAGCGUAAUUCAAAUAACUUGACAUAUUGCCAGGAUUACUUAAGAAGAAUGCCUAGACAUCUGAGUCACUGGUCCUGUUUGUUGUUUGCUCACCUAAAAUGCAACUUGUCCUAAUGAUUCUGACUCAUUCCUUCUUUACACUCAUUCUUUAUGUAGUGACAUUAGAGUUCCAGUCCUUUAUUUUGUAGAUAAUUAAUUUAAAGCCCGGAAAAAUCACAUAAUGAGUUCAAGGUCACAUGCAACACUAGAGGCAGACUUGGGCAUAAAUUCCUUGUGUUCUGACUCCAGACCCACCACCACUCUCAUCUACUCUAGUACAUCACUUCUGUGAACACGCACAUUAAUCAGGUAUGAAGUGGCCAUAAAACACAUAGUUUAUGGCCAUCUUGAAAAAUAUCUAGCUCAACUACCUCUCAGACAGACUUCUCAAACACAUCUUAGCUUUACCUCUAGUACUUCUUCCUCUUCCAAUUUGUACAUAUUCCUUUGAAAGUGGAACACAUGCUAUCUAUUCUGAAGGAGCAACCUACUCCAUCUGCUUGGGCUUAGAAGCUGGAUACUGAAGAGCCAUGAACCAAAUGCAUCCAUGGGACUCAGAGCUCUCAUUCAGAUAUCCUAAGCCAGAGCCCAGUUUGUAAGAGCCCUCUUCCUGGGCUCUCUCAUUGGAUGCUUGCCUUGGCUAAUGGUGAUCUGUAGUAAUGUGUGACUGUGUGUGCUCACCUCUGCUCUAAAACUGACUUAAUAGAGACCUCUUGUAAAUUUUCCAAUUUGGAAAUUUCCCAGGGGGAGAACUGACAAGACUCUGGAGUAGGCAUGACUUCAGAAAUAAAAUUCAAGAGCAUUUAAAACGUAGCACAGACACUUCAUUCUAUUUUUUCAGUUCAGUG